UACGAAGGGGGCUAGCGUUGUUCGGAAUCACUGGGCGUGAAGCGCACGUAGGCUGAUUGGUCAGUUGGGGGUGAAAUCCCGGGGCUCAACCUCGGAACUGCCUUCAAUACUGCCAGUCUUGAGUCCGUGAGAGGUGAGUGGAAUUCCUAGUGUAGAGGUGAAAUUCGUAGAUAUUAGGAAGAGCAUCAGUGGCGAAGGCGGCUCACUGGCUCGGUACUGACGCUCAUGUGCGAAACCGUGGGGAGCAAACAGG
rnacentral:rRNA from 1 species